GAUCGGAUGGCCCAUAUUCGUUCCCGCGCACACGGACGGUCCAUAUCAAAAGCACGCAUGGACGGCCCAGAUCUCACGCGUGCGGACGACCUAGAUUUGAUCAUGCACGGACGGUUCAGAUCGCAUGGCGAUGGACGGUCCAGAUUUAUUUCUAAUUUAAUCGUGAUCGGACGGCUCAGAUUAAAUCAAGAUGAAUGACUCAGAUUAAAAGAAGAAUGUUAUAAAUAAUCGCAUCCACAUCAAACCCCAAACCUUAGCUGCCAAAACCCUCACCGGAGAAGAUGACCCAGCCACCAGAGGAACCGGCUGCCGCCACCCGCUGCCGCACCGAAGGAUUUUAUGGCCGCCAAACGAGGUAAAAUUUCUCCCCUUGGCUCGUUUUUCGAUGUUGAACCUCUCUGUGGUCAAAUCGAAGCCAAACCACCGGUCAAUUGGCCGAAAAACACCGUCUAAGUCCAGCGGCGUCGCCGCGGGUUUCUUCGAUUUUUGCCUCCGAUGAUGUCCUUCCCGGUUCCUGUUCGAUGUAAUUUUUAUACCAUUGUGACCAUCGUCCUUUUCUCUACAGGUUGACCGGAGCAAAACACCAAAUCCCAACUCGCGUCGGAGGAGCCGCCGCACCUGAGAGCUUCGCCGCCGAUAAGUCUCGAUUUUCUAGA
rnacentral:lncRNA from 1 species